rnacentral:rRNA from 1 species
UACGUAGGGCGCAAGCGUUGUCCGGAAUUAUUGGGCGUAAAGAGCUCGUAGGCGGUCUGUCGCGUCUGCCGUGAAAACCCGAGGCUUAACCUCGGGCUGGCGGUGGAUACGGGCAGACUAGAGGUAGGUAGGGGAGAAUGGAAUUCCUGGUGUAGCGGUGAAAUGCGCAGAUAUCAGGAGGAACACCAAUGGCGAAGGCAGCUCGCUGGAACGGUACUGACGCUGAGGCGCGAAAGCGUGGGGAGCGAACAGG